rnacentral:lncRNA from 1 species
CCCUGCCUCUGACACCUAUGUCAUUUUCGGUGAGGCUAAGAUUGAGGAUCUGAGCUCACAGCUGCAGUCCCAGGCCGCUGAGCAAUUCAAGGCGCCUGAUCUUAGCAGCGUCAUCUCAAACCCUGAGGCUUCUACAGCUAUUCAGGAGGAUGACGAGGAUUGUGAUGAGACCGGAGUUGAGCCGAAGGACAUUGAGCUGGUGAUGACCCAGGCCGGCGUGCCUAGGCCCAAGGCUGUGAAGGCGCUCAAGUCUGCUGACGGUGACAUAGUCAGUGCUAUCAUGGAACUGACGAACUAGCCGUGCCCAACCUGUGAUAUUAUGUCAGUUUUUCCUUGUUUACAUGGGAAUACAUGAGUUGUAACGUUUGGUGGUCAUGUGUGAACUUUGAGCUGCUCUGUAUUAGCAAAGACCUGAGGCAAUGUCGAAUGAGCUUCUUUUUCAUGCAUUGGAACAAAUCCUGGGUUGGUUUCUCAGUGGGUCUGUAUUUUAUUGCAAAUCUGGGGUCAAUGAAAUUCCAACAUCUCGCCAUUGCUAAUACAGUACACGUUUGUGUUUGCUUUCAUAGGAAAUUUUUAAUGUUUUGCAGCCUGGAGCUGUAAGGCCAGA